GUGCAUGGCAAAGCAGAAAGGUGUGACGUCUUGGAGGACGCGGGAGGAAAGCACGCCCAGCGGACAGGAGCCAUCACGCGGCUGCGGGCUGCUGCUGAGAACCUGGCGUGGGCCACCGUCGUCAGCAGCGUGGAGGACACUUGUUAUUGCAGUCAGAGUCCAUCUGGAUAAUCCUGGAUAAAUCUCAUCUGGAGAUCCUUCACCAGAUCACAUCGGCAAUGACCUGUUCCCCAAAUAAGGCCCUGUGCACAGGUUCUGGGGUGCUAGGAGUGAGCCACCAUGCCUGGCCCAGUUUUUAAUGCUUGGACAUCUCCAAAAUCAGGACAUAUCUUGUAAUUGAAGACGUCUCACCAUAGCGGCCAGCCGUGCAACCACUGGGCCUGUCUGUGCCUGAACAACACACUGG
rnacentral:lncRNA from 10 species